rnacentral:rRNA from 1 species
AACGAACGCUGGCGGCAUGCCUAACACAUGCAAGUCGAACGAGACCUUCGGGUCUAGUGGCGCACGGGUGCGUAACGCGUGGGAACCUGCCCUUAGGUUCGGAAUAACUCCCCGAAAGGGGUGCUAAUACCGGAUAAUGCCUUCGGACCAAAGAUUUAUCGCCUUUGGAUGGGCCCGCGUUGGAUUAGCUAGUUGGUAGGGUAAACGCCUACCAAGGCGACGAUCCAUAGCUGGUCUGAGAGGAUGAUCAGCCACACUGGGACUGAGACACGGCCCAGACUCCUACGGGAGGCAGCAGUGGGGAAUAUUGGACAAUGGGCGAAAGCCUGAUCCAGCAAUGCCGCGUGAGUGAUGAAGGCCUUAGGGUUGUAAAGCUCUUUUACCCGGGAUGAUAAUGACAGUACCGGGAGAAUAAGCUCCGGCUAACUCCGUG